UACGAAGGGGGCUAGCGUUGUUCGGAAUUACUGGGCGUAAAGCGUGCGCAGGCGGCUUUGCAAGACAGAUGUGAAAUCCCCGGGCUCAACCUGGGAACUGCAUUUGUGACUGCAAGGCUAGAGUACGGUAGAGGGGGAUGGAAUUCCGCGUGUAGCAGUGAAAUGCGUAGAUAUGCGGAGGAACACCGAUGGCGAAGGCAGCCCCCUGGGGUAACACUGACGCUCAUGCACGAAAGCGUGGGGAGCAAACAGG
rnacentral:rRNA from 1 species